rnacentral:misc_RNA from 1 species
GUGGUUGCCUACCUCUAGCUAGAGAGGAUGAGAGGUUGGGGGAGGACAAAGCUGAACAGUGAACGCUGAAUGGAAACUAGAAAGUCCAAGAUUUCUUGGUGAGGGAUAAAUGGAGAUUUGGUUUGGUUUAGCUCUAAUAGAGCUUUUAAUCGACAUGGUCGGUUUUCUGAGGUUACCUUGCUAGAGGGUAUUCUAGAAUAGCAUGAGAAUAGCAUCUUUGGGGUUUUUCCGCCAGCCUAUUAUAAUGGUCGUUGACGUGUUAGCCUAUAUAGGAGAUUGAGAAGCCAUUUGAGCCUUGUCAUUCAACCCUACUAGCAGGACAUCGAAAGCUUGCUGAGCCUUGGAGACCUUAAGGCGCUUGUUACUGUUUGGAAUGCUGGGUUCCUUGGUGCCUUUGAAGGGCUUCUUGUUUCAAUAGUAGAGGCCACACUCUCUCUCUUCUAGACGCUAAAGACCGACUGCGAGUUUUGCAGACACUCACCUCUGCAAGCUUCGGUCUACAGCAAGAGUUUGUUGUGAGAUGGACUUUUGAGCCUAGUUUAUGUUCAAGCUAGAUGUAUUUGGGCC